rnacentral:rRNA from 1 species
GGCACGCCUAACACAUGCAAGUCGAACGAAGUAGCAAUACUUAGUGGCAGACGGGUGAGUAACAUGUGGGUAUCUGCCCUUUGGCCUGGAAUAACACGAGGAAACUUGUGCUAAUACCGGAUAAGUCUUUACGGAGAAAGCUUUAUGCACCAUUGGAUGAGCCCGCACUUGAUUAGUUUGUUGGUAGGGUAAUGGCCUACCAAGACUGUGAUCAAUAGCUGAUUUGAGAGGAUGAUCAGCCACAUUGGGACUGAGACACGGCCCAAACUCCUACGGGAGGCAGCAGUGGGGAAUCUUGCACAAUGGAGGAAACUCUGAUGCAGCGAUGCCGCGUGAGUGAAGAAGGCCUUUGGGUUGUAAAGCUCUUUCGUCGGGGAAGAAAAUGACUGUACCCGAAUAAGAAGGUCCGGCUAACUUCGUGCCAGCAGCCGCGGUAAUACGAAGGGACCUAGCGUAGUUCGGAAUUACUGGGCUUAAAGAGUUCGUAGGUGGUUGAAAAAGUUGGUGGUGAAAUCCCAGAGCUUAACUCUGGAACUGCCAUCAAAACUUUUCAGCUAGAGUUUGAUAGAGGAAAGCAGAAUUUCUAGUGUAGAGGUGAAAUUCGUAGAUAUUAGAAAGAAUACCAAUUGCGAAGGCAGCUUUCUGGAUCAUUACUGACACUGAGGAACGAAAGCAUGGGUAGCGAAGAGGAUUAGAUACCCUCGUAGUCCAUGCCGUAAACGAUGUGUGUUAGACGUUGGAAAUUUAUUUUCAGUGUCGCAGCGAAAGCGAUAAACACACCGCCUGGGG